rnacentral:rRNA from 1 species
GAUGAACGCUGGCGGCGUGCUUAACACAUGCAAGUCGAACGAGCCUUCGGGCUAGUGGCGGACGGGUGAGUAACGCGUGGGAAUCUGCCCUCAGGAGGGGGAUAACGGCCGGAAACGGCCGCUAAUACCCCAUAUGCCGAGAGGUGAAACGAAUUUCGCCUGAGGAUGAGCCCGCGUCUGAUUAGCUAGUUGGUGAGGUAAUGGCUCACCAAGGCAUCGAUCAGUAGCUGGUCUGAGAGGAUGAUCAGCCACACUGGGACUGAGACACGGCCCAGACUCCUACGGGAGGCAGCAGUGGGGAAUUUUCCGCAAUGGGCGCAAGCCUGACGGAGCAACGCCGCGUGAGGGACGAAGGCCUCUGGGCUGUAAACCUCUUUUCUCAAGGAAGAAG